AGAGCAAAAUUCAUUUAUCGCUACUUCCACUAUUAUUUGAAAUGCCAGCGGAAAGAAAACACUACAGAAAACGAUAUUUAUUGGCAACACUGUCUGUCAAUUCGUUAUUGCUUAUUUAUUGCACCUUCGCUAUGUAACAGUUAAUCGUUUGACAUCGCGUGAUUGCAGCAGCGUUUUGAAUACGUUUGGCUAAAAUUCUUCCGUUACUCGUUGGAAACCGCUUGCAAUUUGCUGCAUUAUCAAAUUAUUAAAUUGUAAAGGUUUACUUAAAUGCAGCUUGACUUUUUUAUUUAAAAUAUGUUAACUGUGCUUGUGUGCAACUGGAUUUGAUGAAAUAUUUGCAGAACAUGCGGAAAUAUGGUUAUAUUUGCCAAAUGAAAUCUCAGUGGUAUGCAACUGUGAGUUUAUCAAAGCAUGCAUAAACAUGCACGGUAUGGAUAAAAGGGUGCUAUUAAAGUUGUUUGCUGUUGGAAAAGUUAACAAAAAAGUGCAAUAAAUGUGAAAUUCGUAACAAUUAUGUAUUAAAAAGACGUAAAAUGUGCUAAAGCAUUUAUGAAUUAAAUUGCUAGAGAAAUAUGCUGCAGUGUUCGCACACAUUUCAGACUUUUAUUACAAUUUUAGUGAUAUGCCAAAAUAUAAGAAAAAAGGCUAAAGAUCUUUAAAGUUAAUAGUGUUUCAUAAAAAAUAUACAUAUAGUGGUAGUGUUGAUUAGAGAAAUAAGUGUAAAAAGGAAAAAUAUAUAAAAGAGCGCUAGUGGUAAUAUGAGAAAAUUAAUUAAUGUGUAAUAAAUAAAAAAUUAAAAUUGUAGUGUGUUAAUAAAAAUAAUAAAAGAGCAGUGAAUGCCACUAAAAUGAAAAUAGUAAAAAGUGUGUUUUUUUUGUAAAAAUGUGUUUUAGAAAAAGUGUAAAACAAGCAAAAAAGUAAAAAAAAUAUAAAUAAAGUGAGUGAAAAAAGUAAAUAAGGCUUUCAAUGAAAAUAAAAAAGAGCAGUAAAUGCCAUUAAAAAAUAAAAAAAUAAUAAAUGUGAAAAAUGUGUAAAGUUAUAAAGCGAAAAUAUAUAAGAAAAGAGCAGUGAAUGCCAUUAAAGUGAAAAUAAAAUUAUAAAAAAUAAAUAUGGGCCUCUUUCGUAAAAAAUAUAUAGUGCUAGUGUGAAAAUUUGUGUUAAUUAAAAAAUUGUGUUUUUAAUAAAAGCAGAAAAUGCCAUUAAAGUUAAAUCAUAAUAAUAAAAAUGUAUCAAAGUGUGUAUAAAAAUGUAAUUUAAGUAAUAAAUGAAAAUGUAUGCAAAAAAGUUGUUAAAAUAAAUAUAAAGCAUGUGUUAUUUAAGAAAGAAAAUAGUGUUUUAAUAAAAAAAUAUAAUAUAAAAAAAGAGCAGUAAAUGCCAUUAAUCAUUUUAAGUGUAGAAAAUUAUAAAUAUAAAAAAAUUUGUGUUAAAUGCUAAAAAAAUAGUGUAUUAAUUAAAAAUUUAAUAUAAAGAGCAUUAAAUGCCAUUAAUCAUAUUAAGUGCAGAAAAUUAUAAAUGUAAGAAAAUUUAUGUUAAAUGCUAAAAAAAUAGUGUAUUAAUUAAAAUUUUAAUAUAAAAGAGCAGUAAUUGCCAUUAAUAUAUUUAAGUGCAAAAAAGUAAAGCGCCACAUGUUUUGUUGUUCAAAAGUUUAUGCAAAAAUUGUAAAUUUAAGAAAAAUAUUUUUCGUAAAAUAUAUAACUUAAAAAAUUCUUAUUGACGUUGUUUGCCUAAACAUUUUAACUAUGAAAAACUCCAAUAAAUCUAUGGACGUAAAAUAUAUUUCGGAUUCGCCUUUUUAGCGAGCGGUAUGUACUCAACUGCAAAUUAAUUAAAUUUCUCGCGCGCUGCCCAAACAAACAGCAAACAAUAGAAAUGACACUCUUUUGCGCAAGCGACCCAAGCAGCUACAACAACAACACCCAGUGCCCAAAAUGCAGUAAGUAUUUAUUUAGCGAAAUUAAAUUAGAAGGCCUAAUACAAUAGGCAACAAUGUAAUGACAUCCACAAAAGAACAAAAACAAAAAAGUGUGAAACAAAUUUCGACUAGCAUUAAAAGUAGCGAAAAAUUACGCAAAAGAAAGCGUAAAAAUACAAUGAAACUCACAAAACGAAGCGAAAGCAAGGCACAAGGCAGCGUUAAUGAAAGGAAAACAAUGACGGAAAUUGGGUCGGCAAGAGGAUAAAAAAAUUACAACAAAAAGAAAUUUCAUUACAUUUAUUUGCUAGGCACAAUGCAAUUAAAGGCGACAAAAAUUAUAAGAAAACAAUGAGAAAGCUCAGAAUACAAAGAAAGUGCAGGAGCGUUUCAAUUUGAACUAGUUUAAGUAAAGGAAAUAGAAAUGGAAGCCUCUUCAAUAGUUUGAAUGGAAACUUUUAGGAUUUUCAAAUAUUGAUCAAAAUUUUUUAAAACAAAAAAAUAUUUUUUUAGAAUAUUUUUAAA